UACGAAGGGGGCUAGCGUUGUUCGGAAUUACUGGGCGUAAAGCGCGCGCAGGUGGUCUUUCAAGUCAGUGGUGAAAGCCCGGAGCUCAACUCCGGAAUUGCCUUUAAGACUGCAUCGCUAGAAUUGUGGAGAGGUAAGUGGAAUUCCGAGUGUAGAGGUGAAAUUCGUAGAUAUUCGGAAGAACACCAGUGGCGAAGGCGACUUACUGGACACAUAUUGACGCUGAGGUGCGAAAGCGUGGGGAGCAAACAGG
rnacentral:rRNA from 1 species